rnacentral:rRNA from 1 species
UAAUACGGAGGGUGCGAGCGUUGUCCGGAUCACUGGGCGUAAAGGGCGCGUAGGUGGCCUGUGGAAGUCUGCGGUGAAAGCCCGGCGCUCAACGCCGGGUCGGCCGUGGAUACUCUCGGGCUCGAGCUCACUAGAGGCAGAUGGAAUUCCGGGUGUAGCGGUGGAAUGCGUAGAGAUCCGGAAGAACACCGGUGGCGAAGGCGGUCUGCUGGGGUGAUGCUGACACUGAUGCGCGACAGCGUGGGGAGCAAACA